CCCUUAGAUGUUCUGGGCCGCACGCGUGCUACACUGAGUAAAUCAAUGGGUAAGGGAACACGAAAGUGCAACCUAAUCUUCAAAUUUGCUCGUGAUGGGGAUCGACGGUUGCAAUUUUCCGUCGUGAACGAGGAAUACCUUGUAGGCGCGUGUCAUCAUCACGCGCCGAAUACGUCCCUGCCCUUUGUACACACCGCCCGUCGCUCCUACCGAUUGGGUGUGCUGGUGAAAUGUUCGGAUCGGCCGUUUGUCGCGGUUUCCGCGUCAUGUGGCUGAGAAGUUCAUUAAACCCUCCCACCUAGAGGAAGGAGAAGUCGUAACA
rnacentral:rRNA from 1 species